rnacentral:lncRNA from 1 species
UUUGUGUGAAAGUGGGUCCAUAUCUUGGCGGGGCAACCUGGAUUCUGAUGUAGCCAUGACGGAGCCCCACCCACUUUGUUCUCUUUCAUAUGUGCAGAUCUGAGCCCCCAAAAAAAAUUGUCAAGUUUUAUUCUCAAUCACUACAUCAACCACUAUAGUUUCUACUGAAAGUCACGUACAACCAACCUCUGUUCAGCUUGAUAAUAUGCACUUUGCUUUGAUCGUAGCGUGAUUUUGGGAGGGAAUCAUUCUAAAUAUACGGAGGUCCAUGAUUAAAUGCUCACUCGAGAUUCACCAUUAAUUUUGAGGUCAAUUUGGUUUUCUUCAAUGGUAUUUUGGGAAAUCGAUCUGUAGGUUCAUGUUGAUUGUGGUUCUUUAUACUUCAAGAUUUGGAGGGUGCCCAUUUGUAUUUUCUUUUGUACGAUGAUUUAAAAGAUUCUUUUACACAUUACAAAUACAUGUUAGGUGGCUUUCAAUUAUUUUAAUUUGUUUUUAUUGAAAACUUUUGAAUCAAAGAUUCAAAGAUAGAGGUGUUGUUGAAUAACUGAGAUGUUAUAUCUUAUCAAAUGAAUGAAAAUCGU